GCCCGGCUGGCGUGGCUCAGUGGUUGAGCAUGGACCUAUGAACCAGGAGGUCACGGUUCGAUUCCCGGGCAGGGCA